GACGUAGGGCGCGAGCGUUGUCCGGAUUUAUUGGGCGUAAAGAGCUCGUAGGCGGUCUGUCGCGUCUGCUGUGAAAACCCGAGGCUCAACCUCGGGCUUGCAGUGGGUACGGGCAGACUAGAGUGCGGUAGGGGAGAACGGAAUUCCUGGUGUAGCGGUGGAAUGCGCAGAUAUCAGGAGGAACACCGAUGGCGAAGGCAGUUCUCUGGGCCGUAACUGACGCUGAGGAGCGAAAGCGUGGGGAGCAAACAGG
rnacentral:rRNA from 1 species